AACGAACGCUGGCGGCAUGCCUAACACAUGCAAGUCGAACGAGACCUUCGGGUCUAGUUGCGCACGGGUGCGUAACGCGUGGGAACCUGCCCUUAUGUUCGGAAUAACUCCCCGAAAGGGGUGCUAAUACCGGAUAAUUUCUUCGGACCAAAGAUUUAUCGCCUUUGGAUGGGCCCGCGUUGGAUUAGCUAGUUGGUAGGGUAAAAGCCUACCAAGGCGACGAUCCAUAGCUGGUCUGAGAGGAUGAUCAGCCACACUGGGACUGAGACACGGCCCAGACUCCUACGGGAGGCAGCAGUGGGGAAUAUUGGAAAAUGGGCGAAAGCCUGAUCCAGCAAUGCCGCGUGAGUGAUGAAGGCCUUAGGGUUGUAAAGCUCUUUUACCCGGGAUGAUAAUGACAGUACCGGGAGAAUAAGCUCCGGCUAACUCCGUG
rnacentral:rRNA from 1 species